rnacentral:rRNA from 1 species
CACGUAGGGCGCAAGCGUUGUCCGGAAUCAUUGGGCGUAAAGAGCGUGUAGGCGGCCACUUAAGUCCUGCGUGAAAUCUUGCGGCUCAACCGCAAGCGGUCGUGGGAAACUGGGUGGCUAGAGUGCGGGAGAGGAGAGUGGAAUUCCUGGUGUAGCGGUGGAAUGCGCAGAUAUCAGGAAGAACACCCGUGGCGAAGGCGGCUCUCUGGAACGCAACUGACGCUGAGACGCGAAAGCGUGGGGAGCAAACAGG